rnacentral:rRNA from 1 species
CCUACGGGCGGCAGCAGUGAGGAAUAUUGGUCAAUGGGCGCGAGUCUGAACCAGCCAAGUCGCGUGAGGGAUGACGGCCCUAUGGAUUGUAAACCUCUUUUGUCGGGGAGCAAAAGGCGCCACGUGUGGCGUUCUGAGAGUACCCGAAGAAAAAGCAUCGGCUAACUCCGUGCCAGCAGCCGCGGUAAUACGGAGGAUGCGAGCGUUAUCCGGAUUUAUUGGGUUUAAAGGGUGCGCAGGCGGAAGAUCAAGUCUGCGGUAAAAUUGCGGGGCUCAACCUCGUCGAGCCGUUGAAACUGGUGUUCUUGAGUGAGUGAGAGGUAUGCGGAAUGCGUGGUGUAGCGGUGAAAUGCAUAGAUAUCACGAAGAACUCCGAUUGCGAAGGCAGCAUACCGGCGCUCAACUGACGCUCAUGCACGAAAGUGUGGGUAUCGAACAGGAUUAGAUACCCUUGUAGUC